rnacentral:lncRNA from 1 species
UUUUAUUGUUAUUUUUAUUCUUUAUUUAUUUAGUUGCAUAAUAUUUUGUUAAAUGAGUUUCAUGCUGCAGAUUGAGGAUUUGUGCUUCAACAUGGUCAUUGUGCAUGGGGACAGUGCAGUAAUCACAGCCGAGAUUCAAGCCGGGCCCUGACCAUCAGCGCCCCGGCGCUCAAGCACAACACAAAUCAAGCUCCCCGACGCUAAAGCUGGUCACUCACCCCUGAUGCCUAGCGCCCCGGCGCUGUACAUUAGUACAAUUCAAGCGCCCCGGCGCUGAGGAGUUUCUCACGACCCUGACAUACAGCGCCCCAGCGCUGUAGACAAGCUCCUUUCCAGCGCCCCGGCGCUAAGGCGUGUCGUGCAGCCCUGACUUACAGCGCCCCAACGCUCUGGACAUGCAUUAACUCAGUGCCUCGGUGCUGAUUUCCGUUUUCAAAUAUAACCGUCCAUGAUCAGGACUCUUCAUGCAACAUAACUCCUACACCUUUUGCACUUCUAUCACACAUAUACAUCUAUUUUAUUAGAUCCCUUCCACGCCUCAUUCUCUA